GAGUUUAAGGUUUUUCAAUCAUGGAAUUUGAAGAUCAUCUGACGUGUUCUUGGUCUGCCGUAGAAUUAAUUAACAGGUUGUAUGCUUCUGAAGCGGAACCAAGUCAUCGAAUGGGCCCCACCUAAGCUGUUGGCAGAUUUUCUAACGCCUUGAAGUUUAUCGUCGAAGAGGUCCCUAAACUCAUAUGAAAAACAAAAUGCAAUCAUCAGCCAAGCCAAGCCAAACUGUCCUCAACCCCCCUGGAGCUAACGGAAACUGAAACAGAUUAUGCAAUGAUGCUCUGACGCACAUAUUCGACAAACUUGUCUCGAAAUACAGUACUGGGGCAGUUACUGACUUACUGUCAUAUAGUUGUUAUAGAUGCUUUUGAAGCGGAAGAAUUUGCUGAGGUGGCAACGAAGCGACUGAAAGCCCUUCCAUAUGCACACCUGGUUGAAGUUUAUGGCAUUUGAGUAUCCCAUAAUGGGUCCCAGCUCAGCUGUUGGCAGAUUUUUUGACGUGUUGAAGUUUAUUGUCAAAGAGGGAAUAACUUCUCAUAUCAUGUUAUAACAAAGUUGUGACAUCCCGCCGGAAAAUCAGUUGAUUGGGCUUCAGAAGACAGCUUGAAGGUAGAUUGGGCUUGAAGAUUGUUGGGCUGCUGGAGUUAAAGAAUGUUGUUGGGCUGAGGUCGGGUUCCAGUCGCAUAUGGGGCUACGGAUGCG
rnacentral:lncRNA from 1 species